CGUAAAGUGAAUGUUUAGAAGUGAGCCCAGUGGAAGUUACUACGGGCAGUUAACGUCGCAGACAGGCAAAAAAAGGAGCGCUUGGUUUGCUCACCUGCACAGUACAGGUUACGGAGCCCCGGAGGGGACAUGGAGAAAAAAAAAUAUGAUGGGUAAAAAAAAAAAAAAGACCGAACUUUUGCGUUCCCUCGCAAAACUUUUGCGAGAUAACGCAAUAUAGUUUUGCGUUCCGUCGCAAAACCUUUGCGAGAUAACGCAAAACUGUUUUGCGUUCCCUCGCAAAACUCUUUUGUGCGGAAACUGUUUAAGAGCAUAUUGCACUUCGGUGUACUCCGGUAAGGAGCCUCGUAACAAGACAGCCAUGGAGGAGGACUUGGAGCAUUUCCUGCAUUCUAGAGAGGUCCCUAAUGAGGACAUUAUGCGGAUGAAGAGAGACAAGGUUGACAAGGCAGUAUUGCGCAUAAUGGCGGAUGAGCAAAUGGCCAAUGACAUCAGGUCUUAUGGCGACCGGAUAGCUGUCCUGUCAUUGUGUCAACAAACAGACACUGAACAACGCAGCACCGAUAAGGAGACUCUUUUACAGAGAAUAAGAGAUAGAAUUGGGACUAGAAAAAUGAAAUCAAAAACCAAAGGAGCACUCCCUAGUGCAUCUGGUGUGUUCCAAAGGUCAGGAGUUCAAUGGCAAGACAGAGCAAUACUGCAGCAGAAAAGACCUCCAGGAAGAUUGAAAUUGGGUGGCUUCAUUAUGGCAAGCAUGAAUACCAGCAAGUCAGGACCAGGAAUGGUGGAGGAACGAGACAUGUCACUGUGGAAAAGAUAUUUUAGAAAAGGGAAAGGACCUAUUUUUCCCAGAUGGGUGCUCACCAAAGGGUCCAGCAUGUGACUUUACGUUUGACAUUUGUGAUUUUAAAGGAAAGAUGAUUCAGUUAGAUGACACUGUUGGCAGACUGUAUGAAAAAACAAAACUUCCAUUAUAUUACUUAACUGUCACUGUGACAGUGUCACUGUGUUAUUACCUUGUCACAUCACAGCUACUUUUAUAGAACGUGUGCAUUUACCAUGAAGCGGCAGUGAUGUUCCCAAUUGAUCUUUAUGAACAAACCAUACAGAUUAGGAAUAAUUUACAUUUAUUCAGCGUUGCAGGCCAGGAUGUCAUACAGAAUAAAGAAUGCAGCACCACAACAGUUACCAAAAUAGUUCUACAAGAAUAUAAGGCAUUUGUGUUGUUUCUAGUCAACUUACAAUAAAUGUUUUUCAACUUG